CCUACGGGGGGCAGCAGUGGGGAAUAUUGGGCAAUGGGCGCAAGCCUGACCCAGCAACGCCGCGUGAAGGAAGAAGGCUUUCGGGUUGUAAACUUCUUUUGUCAGGGACGCAGCAAGUGACGGUACCUGACGAAUCAGCCACGGCUAACUACGUGCCAGCAGCCGCGGUUAUACGUAGGUGGCAAGCGUUAUCCGGAUUUAUUGGGUGUAAAGGGCGUGUAGGCGGGAAUGCAAGUCAGAUGUGAAAACUAUGGGCUCAACCCAUAGCCUGCAUUUGAAACUGUAUUUCUUGAGUGCUGGAGAGGCAAUCGGAAUUCGGUGUGUAGCGGUGAAAUGCGUAGAUAUACGGAGGAACACCAGUGGCGAAGGCGGAUUGCUGGUCAGUAACUGACGCUGAGGCGCGAAAGCGUGGGGAGCAAACAGGAUUAGAUACCCUGGUAGUC
rnacentral:rRNA from 1 species